UGAGCUGGCGGCAGGCCUACACAUCCAAGUCGCUUGCAGGAAACGAGUUAUCUGAACCUUCGGGGGACGAUAACGGCGUCGAGCGGCGGACGGGUGAGUAAUGCCUAGGAAAUUGCCCUGGAUGUGGGGGAUAACCAUUGGAAACGAUGGCUAAUACCGCAUAAUACCUUCGGGUCAAAGAGGGGGACCUUCGGGCCUCUCGCGUCAGGAUAUGCCUAGGUGGGAUUAGCUAGUUGGUGAGGUAAUGGCUCACCAAGGCGACGAUCCCUAGCUGGUCUGAGAGGAUGAUCAGCCACACUGGAACUGAGACACGGUCCAGACUCCUACGGGAGGCAGCAGUGGGGAAUAUUGCACAAUGGGCGCAAGCCUGAUGCAGCCAUGCCGCGUGUGUGAAGAAGGCCUUCGGGUUGUAAAGCACUUUCAGUCGUAGAGGAAGGUAGUGUAGUUAAUAGCUGCAUUAUUUGACGUUACGCGACAGAAGAAGCACCGGCUAACUCCGUGCCAGCAGUCCGCGGUAAUACGGAGGGUGCGAGCGUUAAUCGGAAUUACUGGGCGUAAAGCGCAUGCAGGUGGUUUAGUUAAGUCAGAUGUGAAAGCCCGGGGCUCAACCUCGGAAUAGCAUUUGAAACUGGCAGACUAGAGUACUGUAAGGGGGGUAGAAUUCCAGGUGUAGCGGUGAACCUGCGUAGAGAUCUGAAGG
rnacentral:rRNA from 1 species